GUGAAUCAUCGAAUCUUUGAACGCACAUUGCGCUCCCUGGUAUUCCGGGGAGCAUGCCUGUUCGAGCGUCAUUACAACCCUCAAGCUCUGCUUGGUGUUGGGCCCCGCCGCCCCGGCGGGCCCUAAAGUCAGUGGCGGUGCCGUCCGGCUCCGAGCGUAGUAAUUUUUCUCGCUUUGGAGGCCCGGGCGCGUGCUUGCCAUCAACCCCCAAUUUUUUUCAGGUUGACCUCGGAUCAGGUAGGGAUACCCGCUGAACUUAAGCAUAUCAAUAAGCGGAGGA
rnacentral:misc_RNA from 1 species